UACAGAGGGGGCAAGCGUUGUUCGGAAUUACUGGGCGUAAAGGGCGCGUAGGCGGCCUGCUAAGUCGAACGUGAAAUCCCCGGGCUCAACCCGGGAACUGCGUCUGAUACUGGAUGGCUUGAAUCCGGGAGAGGGAUGCGGAAUUCCAGGUGUAGCGGUGAAAUGCGUAGAUAUCUGGAGGAACACCGGUGGCGAAGGCGGCAUCCUGGACCGGCAUUGACGCUGAGGAGCGAAAGCCAGGGGAGCAAACGGG
rnacentral:rRNA from 1 species